rnacentral:rRNA from 1 species
UACGUAGGUGGCAAGCGUUGUCCGGAAUUAUUGGGCGUAAAGCGCGCGCAGGCGGUCCUUUAAGUCUGAUGUGAAAGCCCACGGCUCAACCGUGGAGGGUCAUUGGAAACUGGGGGACUUGAGUGCAGGAGAGAAGAGUGGAAUUCCACGUGUAGCGGUGAAAUGCGCAGAUAUCAGGAGGAACACCGGUGGCGAAGGCGGAUCUCUGGGCCUUACCUGACGCUCAGGCGCGAAAGCUAGGGGAGCGAACAGG